rnacentral:lncRNA from 1 species
AGGGCUGGACCAGAAAGUUAAUUUCCUGUGCGUUCUUUCAACUACUAUUGGUUGAGCAUUGCGUACCGAGUACGGUGCUAGCCAUUGGAGUUCCCGAAGGGAAAGGGGAAGGAGGAAUGGAGGCGCCAACAGCACGUUCCUGAGCGUUGAGACCCGAAUUUUCAGAGGACCCCCCCCCCCCGGAAAUGGCAAGCUGAGGCAGAGCAGUGCGCUUGCGCUGGGAGGGAACUCGGCUGCUUUUGCUUGCUCAGAGUAUUAGUUGCCCUCAAGCAGGUUGCCAGUUGUUCAGUCUAUGAACUCGUUUCAUCAUCUGAACUGAUAAAAGUUGUUAGGAGCUCACAAUAAAGUAUGAAGCUCUAUGGGGACUGUUCAGUAUGCCCUUCUCCACACCGGCCUGGUAAGGGUUCCUUUGCAAAGUGCCAUCCCAGCUUUGAAGGCCUUCUUCACGUAUUCAGAGAUAGCACAAAACUGGACUCAAAAGAGCAAAAAGAACUGAAACAUUACUUCAAACUGCCUCUGUGACUGCUGUAGCACCAGCAGCACCACCGCCACCCGAAUCUGACCAGGACAACCCUUUGAGACCCCCUU